rnacentral:rRNA from 1 species
AGUGAACGCUGGCGGUAGGCCUAACACAUGCAAGUCGAACGGCAGCACAGUAAGAGCUUGCUCUUACGGGUGGCGAGUGGCGGACGGGUGAGGAAUACAUCGGAAUCUACUUUUUCGUGGGGGAUAACGUAGGGAAACUUACGCUAAUAUCGCAUACGACCUACGGGUGAAAGCAGGGGAUCUUCGGACCUUGCGCGAUUGAAUGAGCCGAUGUCGGAUUAGCUAGUUGGCGGGGUAAAGGCCCACCAAGGCGACGAUCCGUAGCUGGUCUGAGAGGAUGAUCGGCCACACUGGAACUGAGACACGGUCCAGACUCCUACGGGAGGCAGCAGUGGGGAAUAUUGGACAAUGGGCGCAAGCCUGAUCCAGCCAUACCGCGUGGGUGAAGAAGGCCUUCGGGUUGUAAAGCCCUUUUGUUGGGAAAGAAAAGCAGCAGGUUAAUACCCCGCUGUUCUGACGGUACCCAAAGAAUAAGCACCGGCUAACUUCGUG